UUGGGUUUGUUCGUAUCGGUUUUGUUUUUUAUUCGACGAACUGAAACUGUGAAAGACUAGAUUGUAGAGUCUAGGCGGAUACGUAGAGCGGCUACAAAGUAGGGCCCUAGCCUAGGGACGAACGAAAAGAGGUCGAGUGCAUGCUGAGUGUGGUCCGCUCGUUGCAAAAAGUAGAAUAUAAUUAUUUCACCGUGACUCUACCGAGCUAGGAAAGGAAGCAGCAAAACGAGGGGAAAUGGUCCAGGUGGGGUACGCCAUUUACAGAGCAGCUAGCUAGCUGGACAGACGAAUUCCCGGCAAGGAUUUUGCCACAGGGAGCGAUACUCGACGCUUUCGAGAAGGCCAUUACCCCAAGCAACAGUCAUCUUUGACGAGCUAUCGAAGCCAUGGUAGAGGCCAUUGGACCCUCGUCAGGAGGCGCUCUGGCGGACUGCUCAAGAGCUGUUACUUCCAAGUACGGUACUGGUACUGUUAGAGACGACUUGGUCGCCAACCUCAAUCCAGUCACGGUCGGCCGUUGCCGCAGCGGAAGCAGCGACCGCGCCCGCACUGGUCAGAGGAGCACAUCCAUGGCAGUCACGUCCACGGUCGAUCGGUCCACCCCUCCAGCGCCAGAGUAGCCUGUAGGCAGUAGCACACGCCGCGGCAAUGCCAGCUGAUGGCUGGGAGGUGCGGAGACGCCUGUGCGGACGGGGACCUUACCCACCGACCCGGAACCGGUGGACGAAAGACGCAGGAGUUUCUCGACCAAGGAAUGAUGAAGAUUGUUGACGGGAUCCCUGGCCUGGGAUGCAAAGAAAAAGCCGCCUGGUCUGGCUCAUAAUAUUGCCGGCCAGUUUCAGUCUUCAUUAGUGCAAGACAGCUAGUGGAGGAUGACAACCUCUAGUGGAGGAUUGCCUGGACCACGCCUGGUGUUACUAUGUACACUUGACUGUGUGUGACCAUUAACAGUUCGUACACAGGUUGAAGAGCAUUGUAAGCACAUCCAUUUCCGUCAGCGUACACACAGCACACUGGACAGGGGCAAGUAGAUGAUGAGAGCGGAUAACUGAAGACAUCACUGCGAUCAGUUCGGCCGAGUAACUCUGAGCUUCGCUGAUGAGACCUAACAAGGUCAAAACGGCUAGCUGUCCGGAGAUUGAGUACGACGACACCUGUAGUGAUAGCACAUGCAAGCUGCUAUUCACCCUUGUCUGGAGAUUACGGGAGAAAGGUGUUCUCCUGCAGUGUUACUCCAGCAGGACUGGCUGCUAGUAGCUGAUGUCAAGAACUGACGCUGGCUUCUAAUGGGAGAUUGAGAAAGUCAAUUCUGAAGUGCUCAUUUCGAGAUCGCUUCCGUGUGCCACCACACGCUCUGUCUGCGGGGAAAUGUUGUUCGGGUUCCCAGACGUAGCACCUGCGUUUCACCAGUCCAGUUGAAUCUCUCGCCUUUCAGUCCUAUUCGGCAAGGAUCAAACUCUCUAUGUCAUUAUCUCCAGCCCAUGUCAAGAUGGGUUUCAAGAAGUUCUCGCCAGUAAAGUCCUGGCCAGAGAAAACCGACAUCAGGAACAUUAUCACCAAGGAGCCACGCGGCCCUCGCACCACACACACGCACGCCUCUCUGCGCACUGGACCAGGGCGCUACUUUGAUAAUUGUAAUACUUAUUGCAUAUUGCGCUAUUAUCCACACUGGUAUCUGCUAUGUAAAACAAACUACCCAUCCCAUUGGCGUGACACAACUCCCACUGAAACCUACUUAAUUCCUUCGUCGGCUCUACAUGUACAUGUAUCCCCCAUCUUGGUUAUAGCAAUAUACCUCAGCCCCUCGUCCACUUAUAUUACGCACAGUGUAUUCCAGCGCUGAUAUUAUCUCCUCAAGCUUCGUGGUUGCGGCACUGCCUUAGCCCACAUUACAAUCACCCUAUAUAACUAGCGAAUAGCGUUAUUAUGCUUUAUCGUCUGAUGAGUGUUUUUUGAAACACGAAACUCGGAGUUACGAGAAAGAUUUUUGGUCUCUGUUGAUCUGCCCUGUGUGGUAAGAUCUGCCCUUUUUUGAGGUAUUGAGCACUUUUUGUA